rnacentral:misc_RNA from 1 species
GCCAUAUUUAAAUUAAGUAGAAUGUAUACCAUUUGACAUUUGAGUAGUGCAUGUUUACUUCACAAUGGCACACCUGCUUUACUUAUCGUUAAUAAAAUGUAAACUUGCUGUUGCUGGUAUAACUUUAAAUUGUAACAAAUGAACUUGUUGAACUAUUUAUUUAAUGCUUAUGAAGAGCGCUUUAACAGCAAAUUGUUAUAAUCUCAUCUUCAAGUUGGUUGCUACUUCAAAGAAACCAGGCAAAAAAAAAAAAAGUAUUCAUAAGCAACAAAACAUUCAACUUCUGAAGGUAAAGCUAAGAUUAGGAAAUAUAUUUAGAAAGUUGUCUUAUAUUUUAUUUCCUCACAAAAAGGAACAGAAGCAAGCUUCCCCUGAUGUUGAUGCGCUCUUAAAAUGACAAGGCCCCCUUCAUGUUACCUAUCUUAUCUGUCAUCAUCUUCAUUCUCAAGUAAUUGCUAAUAAUUUAAAUUUUAAAGGUUGGAAAAUUUGAAGUCCGAGUACUGAAGUUUCAACAAAUCUCUACUCUUCAUAAACAGUACAUGACAUAAAUGUGUUUUCCACCUUUUAUUCUUACACAAAAAAAAAAUGGCAGCCUCUCUCUUUCAUAUUUUUCUGAUCUCAAUUAACUCUUAAUCAUUUUGAACCUUCCAGUCAUACAAAUAUCCACACUGACCAUUCUUUUUUUUUUUUAGAAACACAUUGACCAUUUGUUGAAUGGAUAGCAAUAGCAUCUUUUUGUAUCACAAUGAUGGACCAUGUGCCUGAAAACCACUCAAAGUGCGCUUGCUUGUUUCUACAACUGUUUAAGUAGAAAUGGCUAGACCUAUGGACUCUAGAUUUAUACAUAAAAUGAGUUUUUUACUCUUCAACUCCAGGGAUGUUGUUU